rnacentral:rRNA from 1 species
AUUGAACGCUGGCGGCAUGCCUUACACAUGCAAGUCGAACGGUAACAGGUCUUCGGAUGCUGACGAGUGGCGAACGGGUGAGUAAUACAUCGGAACGUGCCCGAUCGUGUGGGAUAACGAGGCGAAAGCUUUGCUAAUACCGCAUACGAUCUACGGAUGAAAGCGGGGGAUCUUCGGACCUCGCGCGGACGGAGCGGCCGAUGGCAGAUUAGGUAGUUGGUGGGAUAAAAGCUUACCAAGCCGACGAUCUGUAGCUGGUCUGAGAGGAUGAUCAGCCACACUGGGACUGAGACACGGCCCAGACUCCUACGGGAGGCAGCAGUGGGGAAUUUUGGACAAUGGGCGAAAGCCUGAUCCAGCCAUGCCGCGUGCAGGAUGAAGGCCUUCGGGUUGUAAACUGCUUUUGUACGGAACGAAAAGCCUCUUUCUAAUAAAGAGGGGUCAUGACGGUACCGUAAGAAUAAGCACCGGCUAACUACGUG